UGCGUAGGCGGUUUUGUAAGUUUGGUGUGAAAUCUCCCGGCUCAACCGGGAGGGUGCGCCGAAAACUGCAAGGCUGGAGUGUGGGAGAGGUAGGCGGAAUUCCUGGUGUAGCGGUGAAAUGCGUAGAUAUCAGGAGGAACACCUGUGGUGUAGACGGCUUACUGGACCAUAACUGACGCUGAGGCACGAAAGCGUGGGGAGCAAAC
rnacentral:rRNA from 1 species